rnacentral:rRNA from 1 species
UACGUAGGGAGCAAGCGUUGUCCGGAAUCAUUGGGCGUAAAGCGCGCGUAGGUGGCCCCAUAAGUCCGCUGUGAAAGUCAAAGGCUCAACCUUUGAAAGCCGGUGGAUACUGUGGGACUAGAGUACGGAAGAGGCGAGUGGAAUUCCUGGUGUAGCGGUGGAAUGCGCAGAUAUCAGGAGGAACACCAAUGGCGAAGGCAGCUCGCUGGAACGGUACUGACGCUGAGGCGCGAAAGCGUGGGGAGCGAACAGG